rnacentral:tmRNA from 1 species
GGGGACGAUACGGAUUCGACAGGGAUAGAUUGAGCUUAAACUGCGAGCCGAGCUGGGCAUGCUCGAGAAAGGCCCACGCCAAUAAUAACUGGCAAAGCUAAAGAAACUUUCGCAACACCAGCUGCACCAGUAGCUGCGUAACAGUUGCGGAUCCUUCCUUCCAUCGCCCGCGUGGAAGUUUGAAGGGUCUCACUCAUAGCGGGCUACGCUGACCGGCCACCGUCUGAGGCCGGCAGAAGAGACUAAUCAGACUAGCUGCAUGUAAGCCCGUCGCCGGGCUGAAAUGACAGCGAAUGAUAAUACGGCGACUACGCUCGUAGACGUUUAAGCGGCAAUAUUUCUGGACGCGGGUUCAACUCCCGCCGUCUCCACCA